rnacentral:rRNA from 1 species
CGUAGUCUGCUGCAUGCA